rnacentral:rRNA from 1 species
GGUGCCCGUACCGCAAACCGACACAGGUAGGUAGGAAGAAGAUUCUAAGGCCAACGGGAGAAGGGUUGUUAAGGAACUCGGCAAAUUGACCCCGUAACUUCGGGAGAAGGGGUGCUCCAGAGAUGGAGCCGCAGAGAAUCGGCCCAAGCAACUGUUUACCAAAAACACAGGUUUGUGCUAAAUCGAAAGAUGACGUAUACGAGCUGACGCCUGCCCGGUGCUGGAAGGUUAAGAGGAGAUGUGCAAGCAUUGAAUCGAAGCCCCAGUGAACGGCGGCCGUAACUAUAACGGUCCUAAGGUAGCGAAAUUCCUUGUCAGGUAAGUUCUGACCCGCAUGAAAGGCGUAAUGAUUUGGGCACUGUCUCAACAGCCCGCCCGGCGAAAUUGUAGUACCGGUGAAGAUGCCGGUUACCCGCGACAAGACGGAAAGACCCCAUGGAGCUUUACUGUAGCCUAAUAUUGGGUUUCGAUGUUGCAUGCACAGGAUAGAUGGGACACUGGGAAACAAGUGCUUUGGCAUUUGUGGAGUGGCCGUUGGGAUACCAUCCUUGCGAUAUUGGAAUUCUAACCUGCGCCUUUGAAUCAAGGCGGGGGACAUUGUUAGGUGGGCAGUUUGACUGGGGCGGUCGCCUCCUAAAGAGUAACGGAGGCGUUCAAAGGUUCGCUCAGCUUGAACGGAAAUCAAGCAAAAGAGUGCAAACGCAGAAGCGAGCCUAACUGCGAGACUGACGGGUCGAGCAGUAACGAAAGUUGGAGUUAGUGAUCCGGUGGUAUGUGAGUGGAAAUGCCAUCGCUCAACGGAUAAAAGUUACCCUGGGGAUAACAGGCUGAUCUCCCCCAAGAGUCCACAUCGACGGGGAGGUUUGGCACCUCGAUGUCGGCUCAUCGCAUCCUGGGGCUGUAUUCGGUCCCAAGGGUUUGGCUGUUCGCCAAUUAAAGCGGUACGCGAGCUGGGUUCAGAACGUCGUGAGACAGUUCGGUCCCUAU